AUGGAAUCAAACCACAGGAUACCCAAGCAGUGCGUACAAAUUGUAGUGGUGCUUGUAGCUUAUCAUCAAUCUGCCAUUAUUAUUUGUAUUGAGAUGCCCAGGACAGAAUCCAGUUUGUAUCAACGCCUCAUUGCUUCUCCUCAUCUCCACUCUCUCUCGUCGGCUAGGGAUGGAGGGCAGUCAGCAUCCACCUCGAGGCAGAGGGGUGGGCAGAAGGACGGUCGGUGUUCAACUCUCUACGGUUCAAAACCAAGUCCAUCCAAGCCUCAAAGUAUAAAGAAGGCGCCUAGACACUCGAUGGGUGGUGUAAACCGUAGGGUGUCCAUUGGUGGAGCCAUGAUGCAAGCAUCCAAAACAGACAUAUUGUAUACGAAGAAUGUUCAUGCUGCCAAGAGAAGUGAAGACAUUGCCCAUUUGUCCCCUGGUGCUAUACACAGAGGACAACCUAUCAGGGAGUCCACUAAUGACCAGAUGGGUAUCUUGUCGCUCAUCUACAGCAAGUCGGGCUCCAGUGUGUUUGGGUCAGCGUCCACGGAGGAGCAGAUAACUGACGACAUUUACGCUGCCGGGCUCACUAUCCUCAUCACACAUGACCACAACCCACCCAACCGACUUGCCGCUAGCUCGGAUGGCGCCACUGAAUUAAUGACACUAAUGCAGAGGAUUGAAGUUACAAUGGUCGUGGAGCUUCUUGGAUUAAAAUUGCAAAGAGUAGUACUGGAAAGCUUCAUUUUCGGCACCUAUGACAUACAAAGUACUGCAAUAAAAUUGGAGGGCUGGGGAAGUGUUGGACUGGAGCUUCGCCCCCAUGCGGUAUGCUCUAUCCAAGUAUGUGCUCCUGUUUGCCGCAUCUACAUAUUGGAUGAAACCUGUGUGCUAAUUGCGAAUUAUGUGCAAGUGAGUAUUGAACGCUCUGUAUUUCCAGAGAAUAUUCCUAUGAGGGGAGUGAGUGGAGACAGAAAUGAGUGCACGUGGAGCAGCUGCUGCCUAUGA
rnacentral:rRNA from 1 species